UACGACGCCCUCCACUCCCGCAUCGAGUCCCUCAAGCACGACAAGCUCGCCCUCGCCGCACAGAUACCGUACCUGCAGCUAUUCCUUAACCUCUUCUUCCUACCGACGCUUCAUCCAGCUGCUAACCACGCACAUACGUGCUUGCUGCUCUCGAUGGCCACGAAGGUGCCCAGGGUGAGCUUCUGGAUGCUACGCCUAAUCCCUCCUCCCGAGCGUCGCCCCGCCGUUCAAUCUCUC
rnacentral:lncRNA from 1 species